UAGCUAGUUGGUGAGGUAAAGGCUUACCAAGGCGACGAUCUGUAGCGGGUCUGAGAGGAUGAUCCGCCACACUGGAACUGAGACACGGUCCAGACUCCUACGGGAGGCAGCAGUGGGGAAUUUUGGACAAUGGGGGCAACCCUGAUCCAGCCAUGCCGCGUGAGUGAAGAAGGCCUUCGGGUUGUAAAGCUCUUUCGGCCCGGAAGAAAUCGCAUGGGCCAAUACCCUGUGUGGAUGACGGUACCGGAAUAAGAAGCACCGGCUAACUACGUGCCAGCAGCCGCGGUAAUACGUAGGGUGCGAGCGUUAAUCGGAAUUACUGGGCGUAAAGCGUGCGCAGGCGGUUUUGUAAGACAGGCGUGAAAUCCCCGGGCUUAACCUGGGAACUGCGUUUGUGACUGCAAGGCUAGAGUACGGCAGAGGGGGGUGGAAUUCCACGUGUAGCAAUGAAAUGCGUAGAGAUGUGGAGGAACACCAAUGGCGAAGGCAGCCCCCUGGGUCGAUACUGACGCUCAUGCACGAAAGCGUGGGUAGCAAACAGGAUUAGAUACCCUGGUAGUCCACGCCCUAAACUAUGUCAACUAGGUGUUGGGUGGGUAAAACCAUUUAGUACCGUAGCUAACGCGUGAAGUUGACCGCCUGGGGAGUACGGCCGCAAGGUUAAAACUCAAAGGAAUUGACGGGGACCCGCACAAGCGGUGGAUGAUGUGGAUUAAUUCGAUGCAACGCGAAAAACCUUACCUACCCUUGACAUGCCAGGAACUUGCCAGAGAUGGCUUGGUGCCCGAAAGGGAGCCUGGACACAGGUGCUGCAUGGCUGUCGUCAGCUCGUGUCGUGAGAUGUUGGGUUAAGUCCCGCAACGAGCGCAACCCUUGUCGUUAAUUGCCAUCAUUUAGUUGGGCACUUUAACGAGACUGCCGGUGACAAACCGGAGGAAGGUGGGGAUGACGUCAAGUCCUCAUGGCCCUUAUGGGUAGGGCUUCACACGUCAUACAAUGGUCGGUACAAAGGGUUGCCAAGCCGCGAGGCGGAGCCAAUCCCAGAAAGCCGAUCGUAGUCCGGAUUGCAGGCUGCAACUCGCCUGCAUGAAGUCGGAAUCGCUAGUAAUCGUGGAUCAGCAUGUCACGGUGAAUACGUUCCCGGGUCUUGUACACACCGCCCGUCACACCAUGGGAGCGGGUUCCGCCAGAAGUAGGUAGCCUAACCGCAAGGGGGGCGCUUACCACGGCGGGGUUCGUGACUGGGGUGAAGUCGUAACAAGGUAGCCGUAGGGGAACCUGCGGCUG
rnacentral:rRNA from 1 species